UAGGGAAUCUUCCGCAAUGGACGCAAGUCUGACGGAGCAACGCCGCGUGAGUGAAGAAGGAUUUCGGUUCGUAAAACUCUGUUGUUAGAGAAGAACAGCGCAUAGAGUAACUGUUAUGCGUGUGACGGUAUCUAACCAGAAAGCCACGGCUAACUACGUGCCAGCAGCCGCGGUAAUACGUAGGUGGCAAGCGUUGUCCGGAUUUAUUGGGCGUAAAGCGAGCGCAGGCGGUCAAUUAAGUCUGAUGUGAAAGCCCCCGGCUCAACCGGGGAGGGUCAUUGGAAACUGGUUGACUUGAGUGCAGAAGAGGGGAGUGGAAUUCCAUGUGUAGCGGUGAAAUGCGUAGAUAUAUGGAGGAACACCAGUGGCGAAAGCGACUCUCUGGUCUGUAACUGACGCUGAGGUUCGAAAGCGUGGGUAGCAAACAGG
rnacentral:rRNA from 1 species